CCUACGGGAGGCAGCAGUGGGGAAUAUUGCACAAUGGGGGAAACCCUGAUGCAGCGACGCCGCGUGAGUGAAGAAGUAUUUCGUUAUGUAAAGCUCUAUCAGCAGGGAAGAAAGUGAUGAUACUUGCGUACGAAGACGCGGCUAACUACGGGCCAGCAGCAGCGGUAAUAAGUAGGGGGGAAGCGUUAUCCGGAUUUACUGGGUGGAAAGGGAGCGUAGAAGGCAGUGCAAGUCUGGAGUGAAAGGCGGGGGCUCAACCCCCGGACUGCUCUGGAAACUGUACGGCUGGAGUGCAGGAGAGGUAAGCGGAAUGCCUAGUGUAGCGGUGAAAUGCGUAGAUAUUAGGAGGAACACCAGUGGCGAAGGCGGCUUACUGGACUGUAACUGACGUUGAGGCUCGAAAGCGUGGGGAGCAAACAGGAUUAGAUACCCUUGUAGUC
rnacentral:rRNA from 1 species